rfam:Schistosoma rodhaini strain Burundi genome assembly, scaffold: SROB_scaffold0000116
AUUUAUAUGACGAGUCCCACAUAUGACGAAACAUGGGUCCUGAAU